CCGAUUUAGACCGGUUGUUGCCUACCUUCGAAGGUGCCCUCCGGAGGCGAAGGUCUCAGGUUCGAAUCCUGACGGGCGGGCCA
rnacentral:tRNA from 1 species